rnacentral:rRNA from 1 species
AGUGAACGCUGGCGGUAGGCCUAACACAUGCAAGUCGAACGGCAGCACAGUAAGAGCUUGCUCUUACGGGUGGCGAGUGGCGGACGGGUGAGGAAUACAUCGGAAUCUACUUUUUCGUGGGGGAUAACGUAGGGAAACUUACGCUAAUACCGCAUACGACCUACGGGUGAAAGCAGGGGAUCUUCGGACCUUGCGCGAUUGAAUGAGCCGAUGUCGGAUUAGCUAGUUGGCGGGGUAAAGGCCCACCAAGGCGACGAUCCGAAGCUGGUCUGAGAGGAUGAUCAGCCACACUGGAACUGAGACACGGUCCAGACUCCUACGGGAGGCAGCAGUGGGGAAUAUUGGACAAUGGGCGCAAGCCUGAUCCAGCCAUACCGCGUGGGUGAAGAAGGCCUUCGGGUUGUAAAGCCCUUUUGUUGGGAAAGAAAAGCAGCAGGUUAAUACCCCGCUGUCCUGACGGUACCCAAAGAAUAAGCACCGGCUAACUUCGUG